UAGCUGGGUUGUUAAGUCUCUUGGGAAAUCUGGCGGCUUAACCGUCAGGCGUCUAAGGGAUACUGGCAAUCUUGGAACCGGGAGAGGUGAGGGGUACUUCGGGGGUAGGAGUGAAAUCCUGUAAUCCUCGAGGGACCACCUGUGGCGAAGGCGCCUCACCAGAACGGCUUCGACAGUGAGGGACGAAAGCUGGGGGAGCAAACCGGAUUAGAUACCCGGGUAGUCCCAGCCGUAAACUAUGCGCGUUAGGUGUAUCGGUGACCACGAGUUACCGAGGUGCCGAAGGGAAACCGUGAAACGUGCCGCCUGGGUAGUACGGUCGCAAGGCUGAAACUUAAAGGAAUUGGCGGGGGAGCACCACAACAGGUGGAGCCUGCGGUUUAAUUGGACUCAACGCCGGGAAGCUCACCGGAUAGGACAGCAGAAUGAUUGCCGGGCUGAAGACCCUGCAUGACUAGCUGAGAGGAGGUGCAUGGCCGUCGUCAGUUCGUACUGUGAAGCAUCCUGUUAAGUCAGGCAACGAGCAAGACCCACGCCAACAGUUGCCAGCAUGGUCUCCGGACUGAUGGGGACACUGUUGGGACCGCCUCUGCUAAAGAGGAGGAAGGAAUGGGCAACGGUAGGUCAGCAUGCCCCGAAUUAUCCGGGCUACACGCGGGCUACAAUGGGCAGGACAAUGGGCAUCGACACCGUGAGGUGGAGGCAAUCUCCUAAACCUGUCCUUAGUUCGGAUUGUGGGCUGAAACUCGCCCACAUGAAGCUGGAAUCUGUAGUAAUCGCGUUUCAAAAUAACGCGGUGAAUUUGUCCCUGCUCCUUGCACACACCGCCCGU
rnacentral:rRNA from 1 species